rnacentral:rRNA from 1 species
UAAUCGCGGAUCAGCAUGCCGCGGUGAAUACGUUCCCGGGCCUUGUACACACCGCCCGUCACACCAUGGGAGCCGGUAAUACCCGAAGUCAGUAGCCUAACCGCAAGGGGGGGCGCUGCCGAAGGUAGGAUUGGCGACUGGGGUGAAGUCGUAACAAGGUACC